rnacentral:sRNA from 1 species
CCGUCCAGCACUGCUGCGGCGCAAUAAAAUGAAUGUGGGUAUCCACGCCGCCCGCCGUAAGAAUGUGGCCCUCGCCCGCGAUGAUUUCGGUGCUGGCCCCGAUGGUCAGGCCCGGACUGACGCCGUCCUGCGUGCCGGGAUUGCCCGCCUUGCCAAUCGCCGUAAUCCGCCCGUUCUUCACGCCUACAUCGGCCUUAAUCACGCCCCAGUGAUCCAGAAUGAUCGCGUUGGUGAUGACCAGAUCGGGCACGUUCGGAUCGGCGCGGGUAGCGGUGCUGCUCUGGCCGA